GCGGACGUGGCGGAAUUGGUAGACGCGCUGGAUUUAGGUUCCAGUAUCGCAAGAUGUGAGAGUUCAAGUCUCUCCGUCCGCA
rnacentral:tRNA from 1 species